rnacentral:tRNA from 1 species
GUAAGAGGAAAAUCCGUCGACUUUAUAAAUCGUGAGGGUUCAAGUCCCUCUAU